ACAUGCCUACAACAUAGCUUUAAUGCAUCAGAUCCCAUUAGAACUCCAAAGUUAAGUGCGCUCAGGCUAGAGUAGUACUGGGAUGGGUGACUUCCUGGGAAGUCCUAGUGUUUUACAUGCA
rnacentral:rRNA from 1 species